AUACGUAGGGGGCGAGCGUUGUCCGGAAUUACUGGGCGUAAAGGGUGCGUAGGCGGUCUGGUAAGUUGGAUGUGAAAUGCCGUCGCUCGACGACGGAGUUGCCCUUGAUACUGGCGUGCUGGAGUACGGAUGCCGUUGGAGGAAUGAGUGGUGUAGCGGUGAAAUGCUUAGAUAUCACUCAGAACACCGAUUGCGAAGGCAUCUGACGAAUCCGUCACUGACGCUGAGGCACGAAAGCGUGGGGAUAGAACAGGAUUAGAUACCCUGGUAUUCCACGCCGUAAACGAUGAUGACUAACCGUCGGCGAUAGACAGCCGGUGGCCAAGCGAAAGCGAUAAGUCAUCCACCUGGGGAGUACGUCGGCAACGAUGAAACUCAAAGGAAUUGGCGGGG
rnacentral:rRNA from 1 species